rnacentral:rRNA from 1 species
GCUCAACCGGGGAGGGUCAUUGGAAACUGGGGAACUUGAGUGCAGAAGAGGAGAGUGGAGUUCCACGUGUAGCGGUGAAAUGCGUAGAGAUGUGGAGGAACACCAGUGGCGAAGGCGACUCUCUGGUCUGUAACUGACGCUGAGGCGCGAAAGCGUGGGGAGCGAACAGGAUUAGAUACCCUGGUAGUCCACGCCGUAAACGAUGAGUGCUAAGUGUUAGAGGGUUUCCGCCCUUUAGUGCUGCAGCAAACGCAUUAAGCACUCCGCCUGGGGAGUACGGUCGCAAGACUGAAACUCAAAGGAAUUGACGGGGGCCCGCACAAGCGGUGGAGCAUGUGGUUUAAUUCGAAGCAACGCGAAGAACCUUACCAGGUCUUGACAUCCUCUGACAACCCUAGAGAUAGGGCUUCCCCUUCGGGGGCAGAGUGACAGGUGGUGCAUGGUUGUCGUCAGCUCGUGUCGUGAGAUGUUGGGUUAAGUCCCGCAACGAGCGCAACCCUUGAUCUUAGUUGCCAGCAUUCAGUUGGGCACUCUAAGGUGACUGCCGGUGACAAACCGGAGGAAGGUGGGGAUGACGUCAAAUCAUCAUGCCCCUUAUGACCUGGGCUACACACGUGCUACAAUGGGCAGAACAAAG